UACGUAGGGGGCAAGUGUUAUCCGGAUUUACUGGGUGUAAAGGGGGCGCAGACGGCGAUGCAAGCCAGGAGUGAAAGCCCGGGGCCCAACCCCGGGACUGCUCUUGGAACUGCGUGGCUGGAGUGCAGGAGGGGCAGGCGGAAUUCCUGGUGUAGCGGUGAAAUGCGUAGAUAUCAGGAGGAACACCGGUGGCGAAGGCGGCCUGCUGGACUGCAACUGACGUUGAGGCCCGAAAGCGUGGGGAGCAAACAGG
rnacentral:rRNA from 1 species